UCGCCCUGUUUUACAAAAACAUGGUCUUUUGUUUAUAUAAAAGAUUUGACCUGCCCUAUGAUUUAUUAAAUGGCUGCAGUAUUUUGACUGUACAAAGGUAGCAUAAUCAUUUGUCUUUUAAUUGAAGGCUGGUAUGAAUGGUUGGAUGAGAAAUAUACUUUCUUUACUUUAUAUAAAAAAAUUAAUUUUUUAGUCAAAAAGCUAAAAUGUUUUUAUAGGACGAGAAGACCCUAUAGAACUUUAUUUUUUUUAUAUAUAAAUUUUUUAGAUUUUUAUAAAAUUAUAUAUUAAUAUUAAUUUUAUUGGGGUGAUAGAAAAAAAUAUAUAACUUUUUCUAUUUUAUACAUUUAUUUAUGUUCUUUUGAUCUUUUAUUAGAGAAAUAAGAUUAAGUUACCUUAGGGAUAACAGCGUUAUUUUCUUGGAGAGUUCUUAUCGAUAAGAAAGUUUGCGACCUCGAUGUUGGAUUAAAAUAAGUAAUGGGAGUAGAAUAUCAUUUACUAGGUCUGUUCGACCUUUAAAUUUUUACAUGAUCUAGUUUCCAACCGGGA
rnacentral:rRNA from 1 species